UGCGCAGCGCGUGUUUGAGAACGAUAUCGGAAAACUUGACGCCCUUAAGGCGGGCGGUGCGGAUGUAUUGCGCCGUCAUCACCUCGGUCAUCGAGGCCCGCGUCAUCCGUGCGAUAUAACCCAUCCCAUAAAGGGAAAUGGUCAGCACCGGCAGGAAGAAGUUCCAGAAAUUGGCAUC
rnacentral:ncRNA from 1 species